rnacentral:lncRNA from 1 species
ACUACUCUGAGGGGGUUGUCGCGGCUUUGGUUUCUGUCUCCUUGGAUGAUUCCUCCUUUGCUGCGCUUUCCUCAGGUUUGCUUUCAUUUACGCUAAGCUUCUCCAGCAGUCCAGCUGCAGAAGAGCCUUCUACGCUUUCGCCGCCUUCAUCCUUUGCAAGCGACUCAGCAAUCUCAUCAACCAAGUCCUUAAACUUCUUGCAAUCUAAAAAAUAGACAAGGGAGUCAUUAGCAGAGACAUUCUAGUUUCAGAAGAUCCAAAUGACCAAUAAAGUUUGCACUUAGUGAAAUAAAAAUAUGGAGCAUCAGCAUACUAUCAUUAUGGUGGCAUAGAGCAAAAGAAAUUGCACAACUAUCAGUUGACCUCUGGUUGACUGGGGCAACCCAUGCAAAACACUGCAGGUGUGUUUAGUUCCUAAACGAUAAUGAUAACCCUGUUAGGAAAGGAUGGGUGUUUGGUAGAGAAAGUUAGCUUUGCCAAGCAACUGGACUAGAAUCUUUACUCCACUGCGAGAACAUAUGCAGCUCUCUUCUGACAGCAAUUACAGAGAAAAAUGCAGCGCUAAACUGUUGUCCUGCUAGUGGGUAGAUACUGCUGCUUGAAUAUGCUCAAGUUGUAUCAGCUAACCACAUAUUAUCAAACAAGUAGCUCUGCCUGGGUAGGGUAUAUAACUCAAACAGGCCCAGUGGAACCUAACCAAGGUAAACUGGUGGGCUGAUGAUCCAAAGGCUCCCUACACAUCUUAAACGUGACUACUUGAACAGGGUAUCAGGGAAAUUUGCAGGAGAGAUGUUAUAGCUAUAGAUAAGAUUGAACAACAGCCAUAAGUAGUGACAGUACAUUUAUAUCCAAAUACACAGCUUCUACUUGGAUGAAAUUAGAAAUACCAUAAAAUGAAUAUUGAGCAAGACAGUAUGUUAAACAAGACGGAUAUAUGCCUAAUCAUUGUACUUCUCGCGUCAUUGAGCAUGACUAAAAACAAAGACUAAUGUGUGUGGCAGCUAGCAUACACCACUUAUCACAAAUCAGGCCUGUCUAUCAGUGGGGAAACCGACAUGAAACAGAACAAAAUGGGACAGUGCAUAAUCCCAAAUUAUGACAGGAAUCACUGAAACUGCAAGUUUCUAAUUUAUCAGCCCAAUUAAAUUGUAACAUGUUACACCCAGACAUUGAUUGCAGCAGACCACAAGGCCACAUAAAGAUGCAAUUAGGAAGCUACAAAUAUCAAGCAUACUUUACCACUUGAAAAGGAGGUUCAGCAUACUAUAAAAUGUAUAAAUACUCUGCAAUUGGAACAAAAACAGAUAAUUGCUGAGUUUCCCUCUGUCCCUGUGAACACUAACAUAGAGCAAGUGGCAAAAAGAACAGGGCCAACAUGCAGUCCUGUGUUCACUAUUAUUCUACAGCAGGACCUGAAAGUUGAGAUUAUGAUAUAGCUAGGAUGUUGUGGUGUAAAUUUAGAAGAAACUUGAAUGAUAUAAAUUCACAAACAUCAAGAGUCACAUGAGAACAAUGAUAGGUUGUGGUUGUGUCACCUUCACUAUGACAAGGAAUGGCCUUUGUCUCUUGGAACGUUGCCCUUAUUUAUACCACCACUAAUUAUGAAUAAUAUUUUUUAUGGUCCAUCGAGCAUCAUAAAUACUGAGAAAUUGGAUCUUUUGCCCCACUUUACUUCCCAAUUUGAUAAUUUGCCACCCCCUGAGAGGCUGCCGGGUGGGGCCGGGGCCACUGGUCAUUGAGACAACACUGGGGCAAAUCAUCCGACCCCUUGUAAAGUGGGGCAAAUCAUCCGACCCCUUGUAAAUACUAGAUUACUCCAAGAUCACAAGCUUAAGAUGUAAUACGUCGUUCUGAUAAAGGGUAUCAACACACACCCUAAAUAUGUGUCGUAUUUUUUUCAUUGACAUCUGAGCCUCAUGAACACUAUGUUGCUAUAAGAAAACUUCACAUGCUCAAGACAUAACACAACGUUCAGCUAUAGAAUGUAACCAGGCCAUGUCAAACACACUUGCGCCACACAAAGCAUACAAAAGAAAAAAAAAAUAUUACUACAAACAGGGUGAUGUAGCAUGCUAUCCAACUAAGUAGACCACGCAAGACAUAAUUGCAACAUUAGCUGUGGGGGAUAGAGUUGAGAACUCACUCUCUACAGUGCCAAACCGAAUGGCAAACAUCUCAUCCUUGAGCUCUCCGUCAGCAAAGUCUGCCGCGUGCCAGACGCAGGAUUUGUCGCUGCCGGCAUGUUCCUGCAUCUUCGUGGUCGAGAUCACUGCACACAGAAAGGAUCGAGGCCAUAACCGUGAGAUGAGAUCCUGCGAUGAAUCUACUUGAAGCGACAGAGCGAUCGGAAAUAAGGGGGCAAAAUCUGACUACAAACCUAAGUGGUUGGCGCAGAUCUUAAGCGUCUUGGCCUGGCGCAUAACAAGGCGGACCUUGCCGUUCUCCUUGUGCUUGAGCAGCUUAACGGUGCCUGUGCCCCUCUCCUUCCACUGGUUCCCGUCCUUAUCGAACCUGUAUAGCUUCGCCUUCCUGCGCAUCGCCACACGAACAACCCCAAAAAUCAGCGCCAGAUCGAGCCGAGACGAGCAAACCUAGGGGGCGCGGGGGAGCUUACAUGUCGAGGAGAGAGUCCUCGUCCUCCUCACCGGUGGUGACGGCGACCUCCUCGAGCCGCACGAUGGGGGCGACUUGGGCACCGGUGUCCUCCUCCUCGCCGGCGGCGGCGGCGGCCGCGGAGUCCUCGCCUUCCUCCUCCGCGACG